rnacentral:rRNA from 1 species
CCUACGGGAGGCAGCAGUGGGGAAUAUUGGGCAAUGGAGGAAACUCUGACCCAGCGACGCCGCGUGAGGGAUGAAGGCCUUCGGGUUGUAAACCUCUUUCAGUAGGGAAGAAGCGAAAGUGACGGUACCUACAGAAGAAGCACCGGCUAACUAUGUGCCAGCAGCCGCGGUAAUACAUAGGGUGCAAGCGUUGUCCGGAAUUAUUGGGCGUAAAGAGCUCGUAGGUGGUUCGAUACGUCGGAUGUGAAAAUCAGGGGCUCAACCCCUGACCUGCAUCCGAUACGGUCGAGCUAGAGUUUGGUAGGGGAGACUGGAAUUCCUGGUGUAGCGGUGGAAUGCGCAGAUAUCAGGAGGAACACCGAUGGCGAAGGCAGGUCUCUGGGCCAAUACUGACACUGAGGAGCGAAAGCGUGGGGAGCGAACAGGAUUAGAUACCCUGGUAGUCCACGCCGUAAACGGUGGGCGCUAGUUGUGCGAACCUUCCACGGUUUGUGCGACGCAGCUAACGCAUUAAGCGCCCCGCCUGGGGAGUACGAUCGCAAGNUUAAAACUCAAAUGAAUUGACCGGNNGAGAGNGCGAGACGACGACGAGGGAGAG